rnacentral:rRNA from 1 species
GUUGGGAACUAGUUGUGGGGUCCAUUCCACGGAUUCCGUGACGCAGCUAACGCAUUAAGUUCCCCGCCUGGGGAGUACGGCCGCAAGGCUAAAACUCAAAGGAAUUGACGGGGACCCGCACAAGCGGCGGAGCAUGCGGAUUAAUUCGAUGCAACGCGAAGAACCUUACCAAGGCUUGACAUAUACGAGAACGGGCCAGAAAUGGUCAACUCUUUGGACACUCGUAAACAGGUGGUGCAUGGUUGUCGUCAGCUCGUGUCGUGAGAUGUUGGGUUAAGUCCCGCAACGAGCGCAACCCUCGUUCUAUGUUGCCAGCACGUAAUGGUGGGAACUCAUGGGAUACUGCCGGGGUCAACUCGGAGGAAGGUGGGGAUGACGUCAAAUCAUCAUGCCCCUUAUGUCUUGGGCUUCACGCAUGCUACAAUGGCCGGUACAAAGGGCUGCAAUACCGUGAGGUGGAGCGAAUCCCAAAAAGCCGGUCCCAGUUCGGAUUGAGGUCUGCAACUCGACCUCAUGAAGUCGGAGUCGCUAGUAAUCGCAGAUCAGCAACGCUGCGGUGAAUACGUUCCCGGGUCU